rnacentral:tRNA from 1 species
GGGUCUAUAGCUCAGGUGGUUAGAGCGCACGCCUGAUAAGCGUGAGGUCAAUGGUUCGAGUCCAUUUAGACCCACCA